GGGGAGAGGCUCGGGGGAGACGGCCAGAAGAGGGAGAGGGACGCAAGGGAGCCAGGGAGGAGCGCGCCAUUCUGGAGGCCGAAGAAGAGGGUUUAUAAAGGAGAAGUAGGAAUAAGAAGAGGGCUGGUUGCACAGUGAGAUCCAGGUGCUUCCAGGGGAACUGAGAAGAUCCACUGCGUUUGUCCUGAAGAAGUCAGGAGGUGCAGAGCAGAGCAUUCGCAGAGCCCAUCUAAAUUCCUCGAGGGUCCUGGACAUCAGCAGUCUUGAGACAAGUGGUGGGGAGCUGGGUACCAAGUUCUGAGAGCGCCUCAGGGAUGGGAGGCAGGGUUUCCUUUUCGGGAUUCUAGAUAAGAGCUGGCAGUUGGCAGUGGUUCCACCGGCCACUAACCCCCCACAGAAACCCUGGAGCAUGUGCAGGCCUGGCCAUGUGAACGGGUGUCCUGGAUUAUUCACGAGAGUUUAGAGCAAUGCUUCUGAAAGUUCAGCCCUUCUCUCCUCAUACAGUCUGCUCCAGGUUGUACAUUUUGCAGAGUUAUUGAAGGAACUUAGCCAUUUUGCAAACUAGCCCUUGGAAUAAAUCAUCAUCAUAAAAUUGAUCAUCCCUGAGGGACAUUCUUCUACUUUCAAAUAUUUUUGCUUCUGAUCCUUACUGAUGUGGAAUUAUCAUUGGUUUUUAGACGUUUUUAUUUUUCUAACAACAACCAACAAAAAGUCAGCUUGACCUUGAUAUUUAGGUAGAACUUAACCUUGACUCGUAUACUUGAUCACAAAAUUAUACUUUUAAAUGCCCAGGCCCCCCCCAAAAAAAAAAACAAACAAUAGUUAAGAAAACCACAUGAAUGAUAAUAUAAAUACAUUUGGAGAUAAAGGAGAUUGCAUUAAAAACACAGAGAUGGGAGUUCCCGUCGUGGCACAGUGGUUAAUGAAUCCGACUAGGAACCGUGUUGUGGGUUUGAUCCCUGGCCUCACCCAGUGGGUUAAGGAUCCGGCGUUACUGUGAGCUGUGGUGUAGGGCACAGAUGCAGCUCAGAUGCCACGUUGCUGUGGCUGUGGUGUAGGCCGGCGGCUACAACUCUGAUUCCACCCCUAGCCUGGGAACCUCCAUAUGCCGCAGGUGCGGCCCUAGAAAAGAAAAAAACAAAACAAACAAACAAAAAACCACAGAGAUGGAAGGACAAUAUAUGGGCCUUGGUGUUGAACACCAAGAGAUGAAACUUUUUAGAAAGGGAAAUUAAACUUAUUAAAAUUCUGGAAAUAUACACCAGACUUUCAUAUUUCAUAAAAGCAUCCUGAUACCCUAAAUUUCUUUACAACUUUUGUAAAUAUUUAGCGCAAUGUCUUCCUUUCCUUUCUAUUUAUUUGGGUUUUUUUUUUUUUUUUGUAGUUUGGUACAAAAAUUAAAAUUUUCUUCAUGCCAACACCAAAAAGUAUUAACAGGACUUAGAAGGAAAUGAGGCAAGAUGUUAUAAUUCUGUCAAAUGAAUUAUGGCCUCACUUCAUUUUUCUGUCUUUUUUUUUUUUUUUUUUUUUUUUUAGGGCUGCACCCCUGGCAUAUAGAAGUUCCCAGGCUAGAGGUUGAAUCUGAGCUGCAGCUGCCAGCCACAGCCACAGCAACACAGGAUCUGAGCCACAUCUGCACAUGGCAACGCCAGAUCCUUAACCCACUGAGUAAGGCCAGGGAUCGAACCCACGUUCUCAAGGAUACUAGUGGGGUUCAUCACCACUAAGCCAUGAUAGGAACUCCUGGUCUUAUUUUAGAGGGGAGUGGGAAUGGGGCUUUCUUCUACUGAAAGAAACUGGGAACGGGACAUGUGGUCACUUUAUAGUUGCCAGGGGAGGAGGGUACAAAUGCUUUGGGUUUGCUGACUGUCUUCCCAGCAAGUGUCAAAGGGAACUCAACUUUGCCAGGUCCCCUUGAGCUGUUGGGAGGACUCAGUCCAACUCAAGCUGGCCAGGCUCUGGCUUCCCCCAUGUGCAGAGGCUGGAGUCCCCCCAGAGAAUGUCCAGAGAUGACCUCGGUGCCUGAAUGUGCCACCGCGAAUCUGGCUCUGGGUUUCUUUGUCAGUAAUGAACUCUGCCCCUCCUAGCAACAAAAGAAAAAGAAGUUGGGACCCACUGGCAACUUUUAAGCAUAUCCGCAUCAACAUUUGGCUUGUCCGUUGCAGAGAUCAGCAGUGUAGACAGUGAGAGGGAGGUUUGUAGACAGCAGCGACUCGGGGUUUUUCUGCCGCUGGUGUCUUAGAAGUGGUGCCACUCUUCUGCCAGAUGGCAUUGGCUAAAAGCAAACUGAGAAAUGCCACGGGUAAUUAUGAGCUUGAUUUUUGAAUACUUACCAUUCUACUGCUGGAUAGGAUGUGCUUCUCACCAGGCUCUUAAGGAACAAAUGGAAACGAUCCCAACAAUAUUGUGAAGAAGUCUUGUGUUUCGUUCCUAGAAAUGAAUGUAAAACUGUGGGGAGCAUUUAUCACCAUCUGAAAGGAGUUUGGGGGCCCAAAAUAAGUAGAAUCUGAUUUCAGAUUAGCUUCACCAUAAUUCUGUCUAAAUAAUUCCACUUGAUAUAGUUAGAUUUUACAUAAUAAUGCCUGCUUGGUCAUAAUGGUUUUUAUCUGUGAUUUACCCCUAAGGGUAGUUGAAUUUUAUGUUAUACCUUCCAACCACAGAGAACAGAAAGUAUAAUUCUACCGUGUCUUAAGACAAGUUAUGAAAUAUUUUGCUGUGUAAGUAUCAUUCACAAUACCUUAUUUAAGACAAGAGCUGGUACUGAUCAACAAGUUCAGUUUCUGGAGUUCCCGUCAUGGCUCAGUGGUUAACGAAUCCGACUAGGAACCAUGAGGUUGCCGGUUCGAUCCCUGGCCUUGUUCCAUGGGUUAAGGAUCCAGCAUUGCAGUGAGCUGUGGUGUAGGUCGCAGAUGCAGCUUGGAUCCCGUGUUGCUGUGGCUCUGGCGUAGGCCGGUGGCUACAGCUCCAAUUCUACCUCUAGCCUGGGAACCUCCAUAUGCCACGGGAGCGGCCCAAGAGAUCAAAAAAAAAAAAAAAAAGAAAAAAAAAAAA
rnacentral:lncRNA from 1 species